CAGCUGCCCGGCACGUGUCCACUCAAGUCCCCAGGGCAGAAACAAGGGGCUGGGCCUCCCUCUGGCUCCCAGUGCCCAGGGUCAGGCGGAAGGCUCCACCGCAGCCACCAGGUGACUAUGGAUAAUUGGAUUCCUCCAGCCUGGGGCCAGACUGAGGCCCACGAGAUUGUGGGAUCGGUGGUAACGAGCAGGUACUCACCCUCCUUCCUCAUGCCCACCCGGAAGCACUUCUUCAGGCGGCAGUAUUGGCACUGGUUCCGGUGAUGCUGGUCGAUCUGGCAGUCACGGUUGGACCUACAGGCACGCAAGGGGUCACCGUGACACCCACAUCCUGCCCCCUGAGCCACCCUAUAAGUCACCUUUGAAGGCCGCACCUGAGAAACAUCCAUGCCCCCUACCCCGGGCUGGGCAGGUACCCUCCCCAAGGGGCACAGGGGCUAAGCCUGCAGGUCUGCAAAGGGGAAGAGGACAAUGGACGGUGGGGAUGAAUGGAGUCUGCGGCAGAGUACAUUAGCACGCCAGGGAGGGUAUAUUGGGACUGGGUUUUGAAGGAUGAACAGAAGUUCAGAACAGCUCCCUACUCAGUGGGUAGUCCGCUUCUCCCUCUCCCCUUUCCUCCCCCUCCUCCCUGCACCUGUGGGGAGGUCACGCUCUGUCAAUUAAAUAAAUAAAAUCUUA